rnacentral:lncRNA from 1 species
GGUAAAGAGAUUGCCUUGGUGAAGGUAGCUUGGGGAGGACCAGCAGGUGGCAAUGUGACUUGGGAACUGGAGAGUCAGAUGAAGGAAUCUUAUCCUGAAUUAUUCGCUUGAGGUAUGUUUCGAGGACGAAAACUCUUUUAGUGGGGGAGAGUUGUAACACCCCGAUGAAAUAAGGCUAAUUAUUUAAUUUAAAUUAAUAUAAUAUUUAUUAAUUUAAUUAAUUAAUUGGAAAUAUUAUUGGAUUAUUAUUGUUAUUAUUUUG